AUCGCUUCUCGGCCUUUUGGCUAAGAUCAAGUGUAGUAUUUGUUCUUAUCAAGUAUUUAAUUCUAAAGCGUAAAUUUUGUAAUUUCAUGGACACAUUGAGAUUUCUCAUUAGAAAUCUAAAUGAGUUCUUUGAACCUGUU
rnacentral:snRNA from 1 species